rnacentral:rRNA from 1 species
UAGGGAAUCUUCCGCAAUGGACGCAAGUCUGACGGAGCAACGCCGCGUGAGUGAAGAAGGAUUUCGGUUCGUAAAACUCUGUUGUUAGAGAAGAACAGCGCAUAGAGUAACUGUUAUGCGUGUGACGGUAUCUAACCAGAAAGCCACGGCUAACUACGUGCCAGCAGCCGCGGUAAUACGUAGGUCCCGAGCGUUGUCCGGAUUUAUUGGGCGUAAAGCGAGCGCAGGCGGUUAGAAAAGUCUGAAGUGAAAGGCAGUGGCUCAACCAUUGUAGGCUUUGGAAACUGUUUAACUUGAGUGCAGAAGGGGAGAGUGGAAUUCCAUGUGUAGCGGUGAAAUGCGUAGAUAUAUGGAGGAACACCGGUGGCGAAAGCGGCUCUCUGGUCUGUAACUGACGCUGAGGCUCGAAAGCGUGGGGAGCGAACAGG